CGGAUGAACGCUAGCGGCAGGCUUAAUACAUGCAAGUCGAGGGGCAGCAUGACUGUAGCAAUACAGUUGAUGGCGACCGGCAAACGGGUGCGGAACACGUACAGAACCUUCCUUCGAGCGGGGAAUAGCCCAGAGAAAUUUGGAUUAAUACCCCAUAGUACAACGGAGUGGCAUCACUUUGUUGUUAAAGAUUUAUCACUUGAAGAUGGCUGUGCGGCUGAUUAGGUAGUUGGCGGGGUAACGGCCCACCAAGCCUGCGAUCAGUAACUGGUGUGAGAGCACGACCAGUCACACGGGCACUGAGACACGGGCCCGACUCCUACGGGAGGCAGCAGUAAGGAAUAUUGGUCAAUGGACGAAAGUCUGAACCAGCCAUGCCGCGUGGAGGAUGAAGGUCCUCUGGAUUGUAAACUUCUUUUAUAUGGACGAAAAAAGGGUUUUCUAACUCGUCUGACGGUACCAUAUGAAUAAGCACCGGCUAACUCCGUG
rnacentral:rRNA from 1 species